CGCCCUUCCAGAGGGGGACAACAGUUGGAAACGACUGCUAAUACCGCAUACGAUCUAAUCUCGGCAUCGAGGAUAGAUGAAAGGUGGCCUCUACAUGUAAGCUAUCACUGAAGGAGGGGAUUGCGUCUGAUUAGCUAGUUGGAGGGGUAACGGCCCACCAAGGCGAUGAUCAGUAGCCGGUCUGAGAGGGUGACCGGCCACAUUGGGACUGAGACACGGCCCAA
rnacentral:rRNA from 1 species